UACGUAGGGGGCAAGCGUUGUCCGGAAUCAUUGGGCGUAAAGCGCGUGUAGGCGGCUCGGUAAGUCUGCUGUGAAAGUCCAGGGCUCAACCCUGGGAUGCCGGUGGAUACUGUCGAGCUCGAGUCCGGAAGAGGCGAGUGGAAUUCCUGGUGUAGCGGUGAAAUGCGCAGAUAUCAGGAAGAACACCCGUGGCUAAGGCGGUUCUCUAGUACGGUACUGACGCUGAGACGCGAAAGCGUGGGGAGCGAACAGG
rnacentral:rRNA from 1 species